AUCAGGCUUCUAAGUUCUAUUCGAAACAGGCUUCUAUACGAGAUAGGCUUUAAUACAAGACACUACGCCUGACUUUGUCCACCUACAUCCAUGCUGGUCCUUGCUGGAUGCUAGCCCGGUGGUUGCCACGUCAUCGGCCAAUCUCCGGCCUUCGCUUGAGUGCUUGUUGUGCCCAGUCCGGUAACCUAUACUAGGACCAUCGACCGGCCGAAGAAUGUGUUCGGGUACGAGUACAGCCCGACGGUUACUGGUCGCACACAUCUUUCUUGAAAUUUUAUUUUUACAUCGCAAAAACUUCUCUUUCUCAUCAGUCUCCUA